GAGUUUGAUCAUGGCUCAGGAUGAACGCUAGCGGCAGGCCUAACACAUGCAAGUCGAGGGGUAGAAGGAGCUUGCUCCUUUGAGACCGGCGCACGGGUGCGUAACGCGUAUGCAAUCUGCCUUGUACUGAGGGAUAGCCCAGAGAAAUUUGGAUUAAUACCUCAUAGUAUAUAACCUUCGCAUGUUGGUUAUAUUAAAGUUCCAACGGUACAAGAUGAGCAUGCGUCCCAUUAGUUAGUUGGUAAGGUAACGGCUUACCAAGACGAUGAUGGGUAGGGGUCCUGAGAGGGAGAUCCCCCACACUGGUACUGAGACACGGACCAGACUCCUACGGGAGGCAGCAGUGAGGAAUAUUGCCCAAUGGACGAAAGUCUGAGGCAGCGACGCCGCGUGGGUGAUGAAGGCCUUCGGUCGUAAAGCCCUUUUCUGCGUGACGAGACAAGGACGGUAGCGCAGGAAAAAGUCUCGGCUAACUACGUGCCAGCAGCCGCGGU
rnacentral:rRNA from 1 species